UCCUGCAGUGUGUCAAACUCAAGCACAAAGAAGUGGGCAUGCUUCAGUGAGUAGCUGGGAUUAUUUAGCUCUGAAUGCAUGAAGCGGAGAUGUUUAGAAGGAAAGUUAACAAAAUAACUGAAAGAAAGAAAUAAAUCCCAUCGAGUUCAGCAAGUGCCAUUAGUUAAAGCUAUAAUUAAGCGGCUCCUUGAAGUGAUUAAGCAGUCAAACGGGUCGGACGGGGCGGAAUCCCUCCAGGGGAAGGCCUCUUGUUGUGAACUGUCAAACAUCAAAAAAACGGUUCCUCCCAGGCGGUGUCACAGAAAAUACCUUCACCGUUUACAGCUACAGAGCGCAACACGCCCGGACCCCGCUUCUGUAACAACAUGAAUCAUUAUUAAUGAAAAAAGGAGAGGAAGAAGCAGACUUUCUCUCUCGGUGAGGUUCGUCGUCAAGCACCUGGCUUGGAAAUGAGCGGAAGAGCAUGAAUACGAGCCAAAAGCGGUGAAGUUCAAAGGCUGGGCUGGUUUGGUUUCCGCACGCAAUCUGACAUAAUCUGCAGGGCGUUCACUCACCAACCUGAGCGCCCAAUCAGCACCGAGACCGGCUCCUAGAAUACCUUCAGGAAAGAAACGAAAAAAAAAAUAGGCUAUGUACAUUAC